rnacentral:sRNA from 1 species
GCCGGGCGUGGUGGCGGGCGCCUGUAGUCCCAGCUACUCGGGAGGCUGAGGCAGGAGAAUCGCUUGAACCUGGGAGGCGGAGGUUGCAGUGAGCUGAGAUCCGGCCACUGCACUCCAGCCUGGGCGACAGAGUGAGACUCUGUCUCAA